GAUGAACGCUGGCGGCGUGCCUAAUACAUGCAAGUCGAGCGAACGGACGAGAAGCUUGCUUCUCUGAUGUUAGCGGCGGACGGGUGAGUAACACGUGGAUAACCUACCUAUAAGACUGGGAUAACUUCGGAAAACCGGAGCUAAUACCGGAUAAUAUUUUGAACCGCAUGGUUCAAUAGUGAAAGACGGUCUUGCUGUCACUUAUAGAUGGAUCCGCGCUGCAUUAGCUAGUUGGUAAGGUAACGGCUUACCAAGGCAACGAUGCAUAGCCGACCUGAGAGGGUGAUCGGCCACACUGGAACUGAGACACGGUCCAGACUCCUACGGGAGGCAGCAGUAGGGAAUCUUCCGCAAUGGGCGAAAGCCUGACGGAGCAACGCCGCGUGAGUGAUGAAGGUCUUCGGAUCGUAAAACUCUGUUAUUAGGGAAGAACAGAUGUGUAAGUAACUGUGCACAUCUUGACGGUACCUAAUCAGAAAGCCACGGCUAACUACGUG
rnacentral:rRNA from 1 species